rnacentral:rRNA from 1 species
AGUGGGGAAUCUUGGACAAUGGGCGCAAGCCUGAUCCAGCCAUGCCGCGUGAGUGAUGAAGGCCCUAGGGUCGUAAAGCUCUUUCGCCAGAGAUGAUAAUGACAGUAUCUGGUAAAGAAACCCCGGCUAACUCCGUGCCAGCAGCCGCGGUAAUACGGAGGGGGUUAGCGUUGUUCGGAAUUACUGGGCGUAAAGCGUACGUAGGCGGAUUAGUUAGUCAGAGGUGAAAUCCCAGGGCUCAACCCUGGAACUGCCUUUGAUACUGCUAGUCUUGAGUUCGAGAGAGGUGAGUGGAAUUCCGAGUGUAGAGGUGAAAUUCGUAGAUAUUCGGAGGAACACCAGUGGCGAAGGCGGCUCACUGGCUCGAUACUGACGCUGAGGUACGAAAGUGUGGGGAGCAAA